UAUCACACCCUAUGAUUUCUGCAUUUUGGUUUCAACAACUGUUGUGAUACUUUCAGCAGAACACUCAACUCAUAAAACCCCUCCAAAAAAACCAAACAAACGCUUGAAUUAUUUUUCAUGGGAAUAACACAAUGGACUGGAUAAUUCAUGCUACACUGUUCUCAUCAGUGUUAAAUGCUGCACUUUGUUUCAAUAUUGAUCCCGUGGCAUGGAAGGCCCUGAAUAACUCUGCUGCUGGUUUUGGGUACCAGGUGGUUCAAAGACAAUCAGAUUUGCUCGUCAGUGCUCCCCUUGAACAGUAUUCACAAAAUGGAAGAGGAAAAGUAUAUAGCUGCACCACAUCUUCCCCAAACUGCCAAAAUAUCCAAAUUGAUGCACCCGAUUUUGCAGUAAACAUGUCUCUUGGUCUGACAAUGAAAAGUGAUCCCGCGACACAAAACACUGUG